AUACGGAGGAUCCGAGCGUUAUCCGGAUUUAUUGGGUUUAAAGGGUGCGCAGGCGGCCAUUUAAGUCAGCGGUUAAAUCGUGGGGCUCAACCCCAUUCUGCCGUUGAUACUGGGUGGCUUGAUUGCGGUCGAGGUUAGCGGAAUUCGUUGUGUAGCGGUGAAAUGCAUAUAUAUGACGAAGAACACCGAUUGCAUAGGCAUCUGCACAGACCGCAAAGUACCACCAUGCUCUAAAGAGCGGGGAUCGAACAGGAUUAGAUGCCAUGGUAGUCCGCAGAGUAAGCGAUGAAUACUAGAUUUCGGCGAUAGAAUGUCGGAGGUAAAGCGAAAAUAAUUACUAUUCCACCUUGGGAGUACGCCGGCAACGGGGAAACUCACACGAAUUGACGGGG
rnacentral:rRNA from 1 species